CAAUUGUUGCGCAAGUUCUAUGCUUAAAAAUCUAGGCAGUUUUCAAACGAGCUUAGUCGCCAUCUUGUAAUGGACGUUGCUGUUCUAAACAAUCCGGCCCAGGCUGUUACACCGGUAGCCCACUGGACUACCGCGGAACACAGGCCAAGACGCAGUCCGGGAAGACUGCUGGGACUCCCAGUACCCACACUCCCAUGAAUUCAAUCCACUGUACUUUCCCGAGUACGGUUUGGAUGAGAACUACUGCCGUACCCCGGAUGAGGACUCUGAAGGCACGUGGUGUUACACAACUGACUCCGCUACCAGGUGGGAAUACUGCGACCUCACCUCAGGAUGUGCCGGUGACAGCACCACCACUCAGGCCUCCACCACCACCACCACUGGCGG